UCCGGGGGAAGUAUGGUUGCAAAGCUGAAACUUAAAGGAAUUGACGGAAGGGCACCACCAGGAGUGGAGCCUGCGGCUUAAUUUGACUCAACACGGGAAAACUCACCCGGCCCAGACAGUGUGAUGAUUGACAGAUUGAAAGUUCUUUCUUGAUUCGGUGGUUGGUGGUGCAUGGCCGUUCUUAGUUGGUGGAGCGAUUUGUCUGGUUAAUUCCGAUAACGAACGAGACUCUAGCCUACUAAAUAGACCCACGAUCCUUGGUAUCGUGAGCGGGUCUUCUUAGAGGGACAGGCGGCUUUUAGCCGCACGAAACAGAGCAAUAACAGGUCUGUGAUGCCCUUAGAUGUCCGGGGCCGCACGCGCGCUACACUGAAGAGAUCAGCGUGUGUAACCCUAGUCCGAAAGGACUGGGUAACCCGGUGAACCUUCUUCGUGAUAGGGAUAGGGGAUUGUAAUUAUUCCCCUCGAACGAGGAAUUCCCAGUAAGCGCGAGUCAUCAGCUCGCGUUGAUUACGUCCCUGCCCUUUGUACACACCGCCCGUCGCUACUACCGAUUGAAUGAUUUAGUGAGGUCUUCGGACUGGAGCAACGAGC
rnacentral:rRNA from 1 species